rnacentral:snRNA from 1 species
UGUUGGAUUGUUCACCCACCA